CCAAUAGCGUAUAUUAAAGUUGUUGCAGUUAAAAAGCUCGUAGUUGAAUUUCGGGAUUAGUACGCUGGUCGUGCCUUCGGUACGUACUGGUGUUACUGAUUUCUACCUUCUGACGAACCAUCAUGUCAUUAAUUUGGUGUGGUGGGAAAUCAGGACUGUUACUUUGAAAAAAUUAGAGUGUUUAAAGCAGGCUCGCGCUUGAAUACAUUAGCAUGGAAUAAUGAAAUAGGACGUUGACCCUAUUUUGUUGGUUUCUAGGAUUGACGUAAUGAUUAAUAGGGAUAGUUGGGGGCAUUAGUAUUCAAUUGUCAGAGGUGAAAUUCUUGGAUUUAUUGAAGACUAACUACUGCGAAAGCAUUUGACAAGGAUGUUUUCAUUAAUCAAGAACGAAAGUUAGGGGAUCGAAGACGAUCAGAUACCGUCGUAGUCUUAACCAUAAACUAUGCCGACUAGGGAUCGGAUGAUGUUAUUUUUAAUGACUCAUUCGGCGCCUUACG
rnacentral:rRNA from 1 species